rnacentral:snRNA from 1 species
AUCACUUCUCGGCCUUUUGGCUAAGAUCAAGUGUAGUGUCUGUUCUUAUCAGUUUAAUAUCUGAUAUGUCCUCUAUCUGAGACAAUAUAUUAAAUGGAGUUUUGGAAUUGGGAGGUGGAAUAGGAGCUUGCUCUGCCCACUGCACGCAUGGACCUGGUAUUGCAGUACUUCAGGAACGGUGCACUCCCU